rnacentral:tRNA from 1 species
AGCUAAAUAGUUUAAUUUAAAACAUUAAUUUUGUAAAUUAAAAAUAAAUUCUUUUUUUAGCUU